ensembl:lncRNA
GGGCAAUGGGGCUAUGGGGCAGCUAUGGGGCAACCCACAGGGGGACCCCAUAGGGUACUGCAUGGGGGACCCCAUAGGGCAGCCAUAGGGGAACACAUAGGGCAGCCAUAGGGCACACAUAGGGGGACACCAUAGGGUACUGCAUGGGGGACCCCAUAGGGCAGCCAUAGGACAGUCAUAGGGCAACACAUAGGGGAACACAUAGGGCAACACAUAGGGCAGCCAUAGGGCAGCCAAUAGGGCACCCCAUAGGGCACAGCAUGGGGGACCCCAUAGGGCAGCCAUAGGGCAGCCAUAGGGGACCACAUAGGGCAGCCAUAGGGCACAGCAUGGGGGACCCCAUAGGGCAGCCAUAGGGCACACAUAGGGCACACAUAGGGCACAGCAUGGGGGACCCCAUAGGGCAGCUAUAGGGCAGCCAAUAGGAACCUCCUCACGCACUGCUGACACCUGCGGGGCAAUGGCAGCUAUGGGGCAGCCAUAGGGCACACAUAGGGCAGCCAUAGGGCAACACAUAGGGCACACAUAGGGGAACCCACAGGGGGACCCCAUAGGGCAGCUAUAGGGCAGCCAAUAGGAACCUCCUCACGCGCUGCUGAUACCUGUGGGGCAAUGGGGCUAUGGGGCAGCUAUAGGGCACACAUAGGGCAACCCACAGGGGGACCCCAUAGGGUACUGCAUGGGGGACACCAUAGGGCCACACAUAAGGGAACACAUAGGGUAACACAUAGGGCGGCUAUAGGGCAGCUAUAGGGGAACACAUAGGACAGCCAUAGGGCACACAUAGGGGGACCCCAUAGGGCAGCCAUAGGGCAGUCAUAGGGCAGACAUCGGGGAACACAUAGGGCAGCCAUAGGGCAGCCAUAGGGGAACACACAGGGCACCCCAUAGGGGGACCCCAUAGGGCACAGCAUGAGGACAUCAUGGGGAUAUAAUAGGGGUAUAAUGGGGUAUAAUGGGG